ACUAGACCUUGGACAACCUCGGAGCACCGAGAUAACUCCGUGGCUGACAUCAUCAGUCUGCACGUAGCCAAGAAAUGUCACAGACCACUGCCCUCCUUGAACUGAUUAAACCCCUCUCAAAAUCUCUGGACCAGGCAGAAAACCGGGAGUUGGCCUUUGGACGAGAGGCCGCCUUCUCCCCAGGUGGCCGGCCUCCAGAGUAAAGCUCCUAUUCCUUCCCAGUCAACACUCCUCUCUUGAGUGGUGGCCGUCACAGCGACAGGCAGCGGAACAUGGGCUUCGGUGACACAUUCGGCGAGCCGGGCUGGGGGGCGGGCAGGCCCGGGCCUGGGCAGAGGAAGCAGAAGGCCAGGCCGCAAGCCCGGGCUCACUCUUUGCUUCCAGGCUAGUCGCUCUGAGGGUCACGGGAGACAAGCUGGAGCUUAGUUGGCCUUGGAAGGGAGCCUGGGGGGCCGGCCCUGCUGCUGUGCUUGUCUUGAGGAAACUGCCUGCUGAUUCCAGACCAACCACACCAACUGCUAGUUUCGCCUUUCGGUUUGAGGGGACAGGACGGGAGCCUUUGGCCGAGCUGCUUCUGGACCAGGACACCAUUGGGAACAUUGGUGACUUUACCAAGGCUUUGACUGGAAUGUCAUAUUUGGGAGUGACAUUCAUAGACUCACAUAUGACCAGACAGCUUUAGGGAACUAAGGUUGACUUUACGAAGCAUGGAACCAAUAAAGCCCCUUGGAGACGUUGGCCUGAUACCUGGCUGCCAGGGUUUCUAGCAACCUUACCAGGUAAAUACCCCUCAAAACGGAAAACAGGUACGUAACCUACUAGAUGUGCGCGCACAAGAUGGAAACAACCCAAACGUCCAUCAGUGGAUGAAUGAACACGCAGAUUGUGGUCUAAACAUACAGUAAAAUAUCAGCCAUCAAAAAAAAAUGAAGUUCUGAUACUGCUACCGUGUGGAUGAAGUUCAGAAUCGUUGCAUCGCAUGAAAGAAGCUGGACACAAAAUGCCACAUAUCUUAUGAUGACCUUUAUUUAAAAUAUCCAAAAUAGGUAAAUUGGCAGACAGGAUGCAGACUGCUGGCUGGCAGGGCCAGGGGAGGGACAUAUGGGGGCCACUGAUUAAUAGGGAUGGGGUUGCCUUUUGAGGCGAUGGAAACGUUUUAGAACUAGGCUGAGGUGUAUAACAUGAUAAAUAUUCUAAUGUCCCUGAACUAGGCACCUUAAAACCGUUAAUUUGA